rnacentral:rRNA from 1 species
UGGGGAAUUUUGGACAAUGGGGGAAACCCUGAUCCAGCCAUCCCGCGUGUGCGAUGAAGGCCUUCGGGUUGUAAAGCACUUUUGGCAGGAAAGAAACGUCGCGGGUUAAUACCCCGCGGAACUGACGGUACCUGCAGAAUAAGCACCGGCUAACUACGUGCCAGCAGCCGCGGUAAUACGUAGGGUGCAAGCGUUAAUCGGAAUUACUGGGCGUAAAGCGUGCGCAGGCGGUUCGGAAAGAAAGAUGUGAAAUCCCAGAGCUUAACUUUGGAACUGCAUUUUUAACUACCGGGCUAGAGUGUGUCAGAGGGAGGUGGAAUUCCGCGUGUAGCGGUGAAAUGCGUAGAUAUGCGGAGGAACACCGAUGGCGAAGGCAGCCUCCUGGGAUAACACUGACGCUCAUGCACGAAAGCGUGGGGAGCAAACAGGAUUAGAUACCCGUGGUAGUCCACCGCCUAAACGAUGUCAACUAGCUGUUGGGGUCUUCGGACCUUGGUAGCGCAGCUAACGCGUGAAGUUGACCGCCUGGGGAGUACGGUCGCAAGAUU